ACGGAAGGCAGCAGUGAGGAAUAUUGGUCAAUGGGCGAGAGCCUGAACCAGCCAAGUAGCGUGAGGGAUGACUGCCCUACGGGUUGUAAACCUCUUUUGUCCAGGAAUAAAAAAUCCCUCGUGCAGGGAUCUUGCAGGUACUGGUUGAAUAAGGACCGGCUAAUUCCGUGCCAGCAGCCGCGGUAAUACGGAAGGUCCGAGCGUUAUCCGGAUUUAUUGGGUUUAAAGGGUGCGUAGGCGGGUUGUCAAGUCAGCCGUCAAAUCGUGGAGCUCAACUCCAUCCAGCGGUUGAAACUGGCGACCUUGAGUGCGGCAGAGGGAAGUGGAAUUCGUGGUGUAGCGGUGAAAUGCAUAGAUAUCACGAAGAACUCCGAUUGCGAAGGCAGCUUCCUGGACCGUAACUGACGCUGAUGCACGAAGGUGUGGGAAUCAAACAGGAUUAGAUACCCUGGUA
rnacentral:rRNA from 1 species